rnacentral:rRNA from 1 species
UCACGCUGACUUUACGCAUAUCUAUAGCGCGGAGAGAAAACAUACUAACGAGGAUUCCCCUAGUAAUUGCGAGUGAAGCGGGAAAAGCUCGAAUUUAUCAUCUGGCGGUCCUUGUGUGUGACCUAGGUGUAAUCUAGAGAAGUGCAAUCCGCGCUGGCCCGUGUCCAAGUCUCCUGGAAUGGAGCGUAAUAGAGGGUGAGAAUCCCGUCUUUGACACGGACUGCCAGGGCUUUUGUGAUGCGCUCUCGAAGAGUCGAGUUGUUUGGGAAUGCAGCUCUAAAUGGGUGGUAAAUUCCAUCUAAAGCUAAAUAUAGGCGAGAGACCGAUAGCGAACAAGGACCGUGAGGGAAAGAUGAAAAGAACUUUGGAAAGAGAGUUAAACAGUACGUGAAAUUGCUGAAAGGGAAACGUUUGAAGUCAGUCGCGUCGGCUGGAGAUCAACCUUGCUCUUGCAGGGCGCACUCUCUGGUUGAUGGGUCAGCAUCAGUUUUGAUCCGUUGGAUAAAGGUCAGGGGAAUGUGGCAUCGAUUCGUUGAUGUGUUAUAGCCCUCGGUCGUAUACAGCGGUUGGGACUGAGGAACUCAGCGCGCCGCCAGGCCGGGUCUUCGGACCACGUUCGCGCUUAGGAUGCUGGCAUAAUGGCUUUAAGCGACCCGUCUUGAAACACGG